rnacentral:misc_RNA from 1 species
AAGUCGUAACAAGGUAUCCGUAGGUGAACCUGCGGAUGGAUCAUUAUCAACGUAUCCACGUAUCAACCAUUGUGAACUGUUCUUAACCUUUAGAAAGAAAGUGGUGAUAAGGGAGGAUUUCGGUCUUCUAUCUUUCUAAAGUGUAUUUUGCUUAUCAUCAAUUUCAUUAACCAUUUUAACCAAAUCUUUUUAAUUUUUUGAACUGAUUUUAAUUUCUUACUCUUCGGAGAAGAAAUUCGAUAUACGAAACAUAAGAACAACUCUUAGCAACGGAUAUCUUGGUUCUC